GCCGGCCCGGCCCCGCUCGCCCCUCCGGGAGCCCCGCGGUCCGCUCCCACCGACCGGAUUUGACCUUUUGGCAGCCCACUUUAUUCCAAGCACAGCUCUCGCUGAACAUCCUUUCACUAAUCAUCGGAGACCGUGCGUAGCAGAUGUUAAAAACAACUCGUGUAUCAAGAACACGAUUGUUUUCCUCCGGCUUCUCCAGAGCCCUCCUCUCCAUGCUGCGGUAGAUUCUCCGUGAGCUUGUGGAUUCCUUCCUUCCCUGAGCACUGCCUCUUAAGCCUGGUUUUCUGCUUUCCCGGCAGCUGAAGCUCUUGCUGCGCCCUCACAGGUCGUUGGAGUUAGAAGACCUUCAGGUCAUCCUGCACGGUGUCUCUCUGGUCACCAAGAUUUUCCUCGCAGCUGCACGCCACAUGAGCUUUACUUGAUAGUCUCUCUCUUUAGAUCAGAUUUCUCUUUUUUCUUACACUUGUUUUAAAAGGAAGUUUCAAGAUCAUUACCCUAAAUGGAAAAUUAGCUUCACUGGUCUAAUAAAACAAUUUCCCACAGACAUGUAAAAGAGCGAAAGGCCCUCAUGUGGGUCUUCUUUCUCUGGGUGGAAAAGAGAGUUGAACCAGUGUUAGUGGGGUGAGGCUACACUUACACCAAGCAGGGGCUUGGCCCCCAGGGAAAAAUAAAGAUUCAGAGAGAACACGG